rnacentral:rRNA from 1 species
GACGUAGGGCGCGAGCGUUGUCCGGAUUUAUUGGGCGUAAAGAGCUCGUAGGCGGCUUGUUGCGUCGACCGUGAAAACCCGGGGCUCAACUUCGGGCUUGCGGUCGAUACGGGCGGGCUAGAGUUCGGUAGGGGAGACUGGAAUUCCUGGUGUAGCGGUGAAAUGCGCAGAUAUCAGGAGGAACACCGGUGGCGAAAGCACUCUGCUGGGCCGACACUGACACUGAGAGACGAAAGCUAGGGGAGCAAAUGGG